rnacentral:rRNA from 1 species
ACAGGUGCUGCAUGGCUGUCGUCAGCUCGUGUCGUGAGAUGUGGGUUAAGUCCCGCAACGAGCGCAACCCUUGUCUUUAGUUGCCAUCAUUAAGUUGGGCACUCUAAAGAGACUGCCGGUGUCAACCGGGGGAAGGUGGGGAUGACGUCAAGUCCUCAUGGCCUUUAUGACCAGGGCUACACACGUACUACAAUGGCAGGUACAAAGGGCAGCCACUUAGCGAUAAGGCGCGAAUCCCGUAAAACCUGUCUCAGUCCGGAUUGGAGUCUGCAACUCGACUCCAUGAAGUUGGAAUCGCUAGUAAUCGCAGAUCAGCACGCUGCGGUGAAUACGUUCCCGGGCCUU